rnacentral:lncRNA from 1 species
UUAAAAACCACUUCUUUCACAACACCCCUGAAAAGCCUGCCCAUCCCCCUAGUCUCCAGCAUGUCAGAAAGUCACACUAAUAUAUGUAAAGAAGUACCUAUCAGAGCACAAGGAGCACCCUGUUCACCAGUCCUUGAACAGAGACAUACAUGGCCUACUGACUGCCCUGCAUCCAAAAUUUGGGGCAAACUGGAAGGACAGCAGAAGGAGGGAGAGACAGGUCAAGAUCUGCAGCUGAAUAGUGCAAAGCCCAGGAAGAAAGCAAUGAUAGUUUUCAGAGGGUGUGAGCGAAAGUUAUUUGCCUCUUAGAUUCACAUCAUAAAAAAAAGUCUACACAAAACCAGUAUUUAGUUAUUUCAUACCAUUCAUUUACAAUUUAUUUUCAUCCAACUCAUUAUGUUACAAAACUGUACAUCUCCUCCCAACACUGUUGGAUAACCCAGGUCAUUUGUUAGGAAGAGAAGAAUCACCACUGGGCUUCUUCUUCAGAUGUCUUCUCUCCUGGGUUGGGCUUAUCAAGACCAGACCAAAGUGUGGAAUGCGGGAAUGGCAAUCCUUUAAGUAAGGUCUUGGCCUGGCUCCUCCAGUUGCUACAAGAGGGAUGUCUCUGUUGGGAAAGCAACCACCAGUCCCAAGAACACAGAAGUCCAGAGAGACAGGCAGGUGGUACUGGCCACCAUCUGGCUGUGGUGGGAAUGUCUGUGGUGAGGGAGCCACAAUUCAGCAGAGAUAUGCCUGUCCAGGACAGGGACCUGGAGUUGUGGGGCCAUAGCACUAGGAAUUCAAGAGAAAUACAGAAUCUCAGGGCACAGCAAAAGCCUAAUAUAUACUCCAAUUCCCCCAAACAUCCCCUGGGUUUUUCAUUUCCCCCCUUUAAAGGCAGGAAUAGAUAUUAGUAUAUGGACAGGCUGCCUAUAUCUUUGGCCCUAUUUUGUGACUUUGGCCACUACUCCCAGAAAACCAAGUGACAGAGGACUUUAGCAGUCUUGCCAAUUACCCCCACACUAUAUACACACCAUUUGACUCUUGAUUCAAGGAUUAUUUCAGGCAGGCUCCUCCUGGUCACACUCCCCACUCAUAUACACAGUACACACACGCCCACAGCACCUACACUUUCUUUGCAGAUCAUUUACUCAAAAUCUAGCUUCAUGUGCAUACUGUGAGCUCCUUGAAGGCAGAGAUCAAUGUCUAUGUGUUUCACCCGACAAAUAGCACCACUACAACAGCAGACUUAGGAGGAACUCAAUGAGCUUGGGUUUAUUUUAACUGGAUUGUGGAUCCCAGCCUUUCUAUAAGCUUUAUGCCCUGCAGAACCACAAUUUUCUAUCCAACUCUGAUCCACACAUUAGCCCUCAGAGGGCAUCUUGUGUUUAACCACUCUCAGAAAACAAGCCCUUUCCUACAGAGUUGAUUCUAGCUCUGCAAAACUACAAAAUUCUCCCAGAUCUGCUAGGAGAAAGGGCUGGAAAAUUAAAUUCUUCACAACCUUCAUUCUACUUUAAAAAAGAUCUACCUUUACCCCCACAUUUGUUGUUGUUGUUUUUUUUUUAAGAUGUCGAUGGACCUUUAUUUUAUUUAUUUAUUUAUAUGUGGUGCUAAAAAUUGAACCCAGUGCCUCGCACAUGCUGGGCGAGCACUCUACCACUGAGCCACAACCCCAGCCCCCACAUUUGUUCUUUCACAAACAUAAACAUGUGGCCCUUGCCUUGGCUUGAAGCAGCAACCUUAAAUCUGGAUUCACAUCAUAGCACAGGCAGAAGAGAAAUGACUGGGAAAGGCUGCUCCCUGAUUGGGCAAUUCCCAGCCCUCUCAGUUUAAGAGUCACCUGGGUCUGCUCACCACCCAUAUUUCAGGGGAAGGAGAGAUGCCAGCAAGGCUCUGCCCAUCUGUCUCACCUCUCUUCCAGGAAGACCCACAGGUUGAACCACUGCCUCAGUACCAGGCACCUCCGCUUCUUCCUGAACUUUUGUCCCGACUAGUCUAGUUGGUUGGCACUUUCAGGCAAGGGCUCAUGGGGCAGCGAGUCACAGACAGGGCUUCCAGUGCCAGUGCUGCCAAGACUGGCACUUCCAAGGCAAAGAUGUCCAAUGGAGCCAGUGUGAGAUGGGCUCUUACUCCUCUAUGUAAACUAGGGUGGAAGGGGAGGGCUGUAUAGCAUGGUCCUUCCUGCUCCUGUGGCUCAGGACCUCAUGAUCCUGCCAAGAACACCUUGUUCACAAAGCCACCUGGAAAAUUGGUCAUUUUGACACCUUUAUUUCCCCUCCACAUAUCCUCACCCUGUUCUCUCAAAAUCUCCUGUCCUUUGGGAGAAAACCCAAAGAUUUUUUUUUUUUUUACUGUAUAUAAUUACUGCACUUUCCCAACCAUGAAUACGUAAGUACUGUCUAGAAAGUCAAUGAAGAUUAUAGCAUUUAAAGAUAAACUGUUUAAGUGCCAUUUGCUUUUAAAAAAAAGUGACCCUUAACCCUCUUGUAUUCUUUUGAGAGGUUAUAUUGGAAUAGAAAUAGGUUCUCUGUCCCUUGGUGGCUACCCGAUCCUCAUAUGAUGUGCUGGCUCAUAGGGCUGGCCUCUAACACUUCUCACCAGGUCUGCCUUUAAACCAUCUCUCCCAAAGGUAACAUAUAUUUUUACAACUUAUGGGAAACUCAGACUUGCUUCUAGUUUUCCCCUAAAGGUAAUUAUAGUCCUCAAACACCACUUUCAGUGAAAAAAAUUAAGCCAUCAGAAGGGCCAAGUUUCUUCCUACAGUAGGACUUUUAUCAAGGAUUUAGUUGGGGGAUAGAAGAAGAGUGCCAUAAGAGAAGAAUUCUACUCAUUAUCUCCUGAUGUAGGCCAUGAGGGAUUUUAUGCUCACAUCUAUCUGCCUAAAAGGGGAGCAGGGGGACUUUCCUUCCCCAGUGAUGUGGGUGCAGACAACCAGCAUAUAAGAAAUCAUUUACUCUGCUCUUGAUUCAACCUUGAUGAAAUGUCUGCCUGCCAGAAGCUGGCCUCAGCUCUGACUAACAACCUGGCAGAACCUCACAGGUCAGUUACUAUUAAUCUAUUAAUUGUGUG